rnacentral:rRNA from 1 species
CGUAGGGGGCUAGCGUUGUCCGGAAUCAUUGGGCGUAAAGAGCGUGUAGGCGGUCCGGUAAGUCCGCUGUGAAAGUCGGGGGCUCAACCCUCGAAUGCCGGUGGAUACUGUCGGGCUAGAGUGCGGAAGAGGCGAGUGGAAUUCCUGGUGUAGCGGUGAAAUGCGCAGAUAUCAGGAGGAACACCUAUUGCGAAGGCAGCUCGCUGGGACGUUACUGACGCUGAGACGCGAAAGCGUGGGGAGCAAACAGGAUUAGAUACCCUGGUAGUCCACGCUGUAAACGAUGGGCACUAGGUGUGGGGGGUGUCGACUCCCUCCGUGCCGAAGCUAACGCAUUAAGUGACCCCGCCUGGGGAGUACGGCCGCAAGGCUA